rnacentral:rRNA from 1 species
GACGAACGCUGGCGGCGUGCUUAACACAUGCAAGUCGAACGGAAAGGCCCUGCUUUUGUGGGGUGCUCGAGUGGCGAACGGGUGAGUAACACGUGAGUAACCUGCCCUUGACUUUGGGAUAACUUCAGGAAACUGGGGCUAAUACCGGAUAGGAGCUCCUGCUGCAUGGUGGGGGUUGGAAAGUUUCGGCGGUUGGGGAUGGACUCGCGGCUUAUCAGCUUGUUGGUGGGGUAGUGGCUUACCAAGGCUUUGACGGGUAGCCGGCCUGAGAGGGUGACCGGCCACAUGGGGACUGAGAUACGGCCCAGACUCCUACGUGAGGCAGCAGUGGGGAAUAUUGCACAAUGGGCGGGAGCCUGAUGCAGCAACGCCGCGGGCGUGAUGACGGCCUGCGGGUUGUAAACCGCUUUCGCCUGUGACGAAGCGUGAGUGACGGUAAUGGGUAAAGAAGCACCGGCUAACUACGUG